GAAAUCAAACUUCUCUCACUGAACAAAAAAUCUAUCAUAACACCAGGAAUUCUCCAAGAUUCAAACUAAUCUUAUAUUUUUCUUUGUACUUUUCAGUUUAAAACAGAAUUGAUUGUCAACCUUCGUUUAUUCUCCUAAAGCAAACGGAAAGGACAUGGAUUCAGCCCAGGAAAAACCGCUUCUAUGUUAAAAUUAGUAUAAUAAAAGAUUUGUUGUCUAAAAA